AUGCGGCGUAGUUUGUUUGUGAAGAUUGUCAACGAUUGUGAGGCCGCCUCCUAUUACUUUAAACGUUGUAGAUCCGCCGCCGGUAUCAUGGGGUUUAGUGCAUAUCAAAAUAUAUCGGCGGCAAUGCGGGUACUCACUUAUGGCAUACCCGCGGAUUAUACCGACGAGUAUCUUCGCAUUGGGCAAGAUACAACCAUGGAGUCAGUCCGUAGGUUUGCCAAGUUGGUCAUUCGGCUGUACGGUGAGCAGUAUCUUCGGGCACCAAACGAGGAAGAUACAAAGAGAUUAAUGGAAAUGAAUGAAAAAAGGGGAUGGCCGGGGAUGCUAGGUAGUCUUGACUGCAUGCAUUGGAGGUGGAAAAAUUGCCCAAAGGCAUGUCACGGAAUGUUUUGCGGUAAAAGCCGUGAUGCUACCAUUGUUCUUGAGGCCGUAGCAUCUCAGGACACAUGGAUUUGGCAUGCAUUCUUUGGGUUGCCGGGAACACUCAAUGAUAUCAAUAUCCUCAAUAGAUCUCCUUUGUUCAAAAGAUUAAUUUCUGGGGAUGCUCCAGCUUGCAACUACAAAAUCAUGGACAAUGAGUACUCAAUGGGAUACUAUCUCACCGAUGGCAUCUAUCCCGAAUGGGUAACUCUUGUGAAGUCCAUCAAGGAGAAAAAUGGGGUGCCCUUAACAAGAAAAGAGGCUCAUUUCACCAAGGCACAAGAGGCAGCCCGUAAGGAUAUUGAGAGAGCUUUCGGUGUUUUGCAAGCAAGGUUUGCCAUAGUUCAUGGUCCAGCUCGGUUUUGGGACAAAAAAACCUUGAUGAAUAUCAUGAAAUGUUGUGUGAUUCUACACAACAUGAUCCUAGAGGAUGAAAGAGGGUUAAACCUCCCUUGUUUCUAUGACAAUGUUGGUACCCGUGUGCAACCGGAAAGAAAUCCUUCUCGCAUACGCGCUUUUCUUCAAGCACAUCGUGAGAUUGAGGAUGCAACCACUCAUGGUCGGCUCCGAGAUGAUCUAAUAGAGCACCACUUGCAGUUGGAUGGGCGGCGCAUUGGCCCAUGA
rnacentral:rRNA from 1 species